CUGCUCAGAAAAUAUAAGCUGAUUCUAAAGGUCUUAGUGACUGGGUACUUUCUCAGUCUUUUUCUCUUGGUCUCUAACACCAGAGUGCAAAUGCCAAGACCUUCGUGCAUUCCUUCAGAGCAGACAUUAAAAGGAGCUGCUCCCUUUUUUAGCAAGAAAGUCUUCCCAUUGAGAGAAAACUUCAGGACAGGAGUGAACCCAUGUGUUGCUCAACUACCUGGACGGGCGCAAUUCAGGACCAGCUCUGUCCACAGUGAUUUGCUUUCUUUCCCAUAAUCUCACAAUGCAAAGUAACAGAAAAUUCAUCUUCUGAAAUCCUUAGUCCUGCUAAAGCUGCCAAUGGAAAGGCCAGCCUCAUGUUCUUAUCUACCCCAGUAAACAUUUUACUUCUUCCUA